rnacentral:rRNA from 1 species
CAGCACCUCAAGUGGUCAGGAUGAUUAUUGGGCCUAAAGCAUCCGUAGCCGGCGCUGUAAGUUUUCGGUUAAAUCUGUACGCUCAACGUACAGGCUGCCGGGAAUACUGCAGCGCUAGGGAGUGGGAGAGGUAGACGGUACUCGGUAGGAAGGGGUAAAAUCCUUUGAUCUAUUGAUGACCACCUGUGGCGAAGGCGGUCUACCAGAACACGUCCGACGGUGAGGGAUGAAAGCUGGGGGAGCAAACCGGAUUAGAGACCCGAGUAGUCU